rnacentral:tRNA from 1 species
GCCGGUGUGGCGGAAUGGUAGACGCAGCUGACUCAAAAUCAGCCGGGUAACACCGUGGGGGUUCGAGUCCCUUCACCGGCA